UCUGAACAAACAACAUUGCCUGGCAGCUACAGAGCAGCUGUAAAGGGUCAGUCAGGCUGAGCCUGCUGGGAGCAGACUGGGGUUCCAAGAGUCUCAGUCUGGCCCCGGAACAGGCCCCUGCAGUCUGCUCUUACCCUGUGCUUAGACUUUGCUCCUGGCAGAUAACCAUCUUCUCCGAAACUCCCGUGUCUUUUCUUGCUCUUGUUUUUCAAUUUCCGUUGAAAGCAUUAGUCAUCUUGGCUCUGCUGAGCCGAGAUGACCCACCAUGUCUUCCCGUGGUGGAAUCUUGUUUCCCCCCUGCAGCUCCAAGGUUCCUGCUGCACGGUUUGCUCUUUUACCGGGCGCUUCUCUUCUCCGCAUUUCUCCGAGACUGUGUUUCUCUUCUGACUUCUGUUGGCAUCUGGUGAGAUGUUGUCUCCAUUAGAAAUACGCAAUACACGUUGGUGAAAUUGAAAACUGGGGGCUGGAGAGAUGGCUCGGUGAGGAAGAGCAUUUGCUGUUCUUGCAGAGGACCUGGAUUUGGUCUCCAGCACCACAUGGUGACUCACAACUGUCCUGAGGUUCUGACACCAAGGACACCAGGCGUGAACACAGUGCACAUACAUGUGGGCAGGCAAAAACAAAACCUGUAUGUCUAAGAUAAAUGAAUUAAAAGAUAGAUAUUGACGGCCAUUACAGUACAUUGAGCUCCACAGAGACAGCGAGAGCCGGCGGGCACUGGG
rnacentral:lncRNA from 1 species